UAGAUACUCCCUUCGUUCGGAAUUACUUGUCACCAAAAUGGAUGUAUCUAGAACUAAAAUACAUCUAGAUACAUCCAUUCCAAUGACAAGUAUUUCCGAACGGAGGGAGUAGAUC
rnacentral:pre_miRNA from 1 species